CUACAUAUGAUAGGGUCCACUAAACAACACAUUGCUUUUUGAUUUUUGAUAGAGUAGCAAAGUUUGAAAUGUCAUCCUGUCAGGUCAGUGCAUCAUGUUUGUCAGGAAUGGAUUACCUUCUGCUAUGGGAAAGCUUGAAUGUGUGUCUACAUGCAGUAAAUGACAAUGUCUCCCUGUGCCACAGCUAGAUGUCCCACCCUUGCGGGUGAGGUCCAGGGUGGUGCUGCUGGGUAUUUUUAAUUAAAUCAGCCUACAAUGAGGAAGAUGGAAGUGGAGGGAAGUCAGAGAGGAGGGGGAGCUGGGGUUAGUGAGGGGGAUCUGACCAUCUCCAGGGUAAAGGCAGUGUGGGAAGAGAAUGUGCUCCUCCUUGCUGUGUCUUCUCUUUGUGUCCUGCUACUUCUUAUAUACUGUGGGAAUUCCCAAGGAAUGAGAGGUACAGGACCCGAAAGCUCUUGGACAAGUAAUGAUAACAUACAAAGCUUCAAGGCCCUCACUCUCAUUAUUUCCCACUGGAGGGGUGCUGUGAUGGCUCGACUGGGACAGUGACGCAGGGAACACCCCCCCUGCUGGUUCGGACUGGUGGGGUCAGUCUGAGCUGGGACGGGCUCAGUGGGGAGGUGGUGACAGUCACAGUGGAGGAGGAGCAAGGAAGAAGGGCCCCACCAUGGGAGUCGAUGUCUGACAUGACCCUUCCCAGCAUGGCCCCUGCAAGGUCCCCAGAGUCCAUCAUCAGGCUCUGGACCGGUCGUCAGGAUUUUCAGUCUUUUUGCCAUGAGUUCUCCCUUUGUUCAUCCACUUUGCUAGUGGUCUUUAUUGCAGUAGUGUUAUGUUUUCAGAUGUUGUCUUGAUUUUAAUGGGCACCAAGCCCAUUUGAUCAGUAUCCAAGCCCUGGACCAAGAUCAUUCCACUUUUUAUAAUUAUUAAAGCAUUCAAUAUACAAUUAAAUUUUGGAAUGUGUACCAUUGUCUGUGUCUUCACAUCCUAUAAACUGUAAGAAUUACCAGGAAAUAAAAGGUGAGUGAAACACAAUAAUGCCUGUAGAGAUGAUUCCUUUUAUGAUAAUGAUAAUUAUUAUUCCCAGUCCCAGAUAAUAAUCAGAC
rnacentral:lncRNA from 1 species